CCGCUUACCUGGCGCAGAAGGUUCCGUUAUCAAGAAGGUGGACCUUCCAGGAUGAGGCUCUCCCAUUGCACUACGGUUGGGUUGACCCCUGCGAAAAUUCCUAAUGUGGAUAUCUCGGGUGUAUUAUUUUUGGUAUUUCAAGUCAAUACGUGGUAAAUUUUAU